GUGGGGAAUCUUCCACAAUGGACGAAAGUCUGAUGGAGCAACGCCGCGUGAGUGAAGAAGGGUUUCGGCUCGUAAAGCUCUGUUGUCGGGGACGAAUGUGCAGUAUUUGAAUAAAGUAGUGCAAUGACGGUACCUGACGAGGAAGCCACGGCUAACUACGUGCCAGCAGCCGCGGUAAUACGUAGGUGGCAAGCGUUGUCCGGAAUUAUUGGGCGUAAAGGGAGCGCAGGCGGGAAGGUAAGUCGGUCUUAAAAGUGCGGGGCUCAACCCCGUGAUGGGAUCGAAACUAUCUUUCUUGAGUGCAGGAGAGGAAAGUGGAAUUCCUAGUGUAGCGGUGAAAUGCGUAGAUAUUAGGAGGAACACCAGUGGCGAAGGCGACUUUCUGGACGAUGUCUGACGCUGAGGCGCGAAAGCUAGGGGAGCGAACGGGAUUAGAAACCCCAGUAGUCC
rnacentral:rRNA from 1 species